CGGGUCGCACGAUCGGUGAUCGCCGGUGCACGAGGUGUCCCGCUCUUGUCGCGAAUUACGCCAACGGUGUGAAGUGCCGAAGGAAGUUGUUACGCUUCUGUCGAGCCGCGAGCCCUGAUAAAGGGUAAAAGAGCGGCGCGGGGCCGGUGUUCCGCACCAUAGAAACUGCAGCUGCGUUUCGAUCCGCCCGGAAAAGCUCUCUCUCUGUCUCUCUGGAUGACCCAGGACGAACUCUGCGCUGGAGCGCAACCAGAUGCUGCGCAACGAUACGGGCAAAUGAAAAAUGUUGUUUGAUCAUUAAGAACUCCACGUUUGAUCGUAAAAGAAGUCUCGGGUGAAUAAACCGUGAAGUGCCAAUAUCUGACAAAUAAAAGUUACGUCGGCGUAUAUAGACAAGCGACGCUAUACAGAAACGGAUGGGCUAGCGUUCGUCGGACGGUAAAAUUGAAGCAAACUUUGACGGCGCCACGAACGAGCGUUUCUCUCUGAAAGAAUGAGGCUGUCGUGUGAAAACCUAUUCGAUCGAGGAGAAUUAAUUUUCUCUUCCGGUCAUCGGGUCGCGGCAAAAUGACCGAGCUGGCGAGAUUAAUAGCGUCUUCAUGAGAGCGCGAAUAUCCCGUUAGUCGCUCGAUCAGCGAACAACAAGCGAUCACUCUUCGAUCCAUGAUUGGGUGCGAAAGAUACGCCCAAGUAAAACGACUAGUCGCAUCGGAACGAAGUUUUCUUCGAAUCAACUCGGAAGACGAAAACAAAAAGAAACAGAUAAAUUACACUACUUCAUAUAAUUUUGAACUCUUUUUUUGUAACAACAUUUCUUCACAACAUUCUUUUUAAAAUAUCACAAAUGCGAUGGGAGUUUCUCAAGCAACGUGAUAUCUCGUGAAAUUCUAACAGUGCAAGAAGAAAUAGACGGUGUUGGAACGCAAGCCAAAUCGAGGUGACCAAGGGUCGCGAAUAUCAUCUGGCAAAUAGCAAAAUUCAAAAGGGUGUAGCAUCGUCCAUCCUGUCGGCUGCAAUCCUCUCUAUUUUGCUGGCGGCUCUCUCCCGGUCAUUCUUCGUUCUAAAAUUCUCAUUUCAGCACCGCCGCCUUGCCAUUCGGUGUCCUCCCACGUCGCGAGCAUAAAAGUAUAACGACUUGGGGGCGCGUUACGUCCGCGACUCAAGAGGCGAGAGCCGCGAUAGCGCGGAAUCGUCCGGUAUAAUCUCAUAAAACCCGUGGGAGAGUUCACACACACACACACACACACAUAGGAAAAGUAACGAGUAGACGCUCCAAAUUGCACUUUUCCGAUAGUUAAAGAAAGUACAGCGAGAAUAUCAUCACCUCUCGAAACAGAUAAAACGUUUGCAAAGUACGAAACGUUCGCAAUUUACAAAGUAAACUUGAGCAACACGAUAUAGUAAAUUGAGAUUAAACAAUCAUACUGAUAAGAUCGUGAUAAUGAUAAGUUACAUUAUUUUAUGCAACUAUUCUGUCUUUAUACUUUCAAAGUACACGCAACGUGAUAGUGAUAAAACGCAGUGCGGUGAACCGUAAAGCUCUUACCGGUUCGACGCGAAUUCCGAAGAGAACGCUGUCCGGCGUGUUCGACACGAGAGAAUUCAAUCGCGAAAUGGACCGCGCGAUAUUUGAAUACUCGCGUUGGUUGUAGUAACGUGGUGAGUUUAGUGAAUCCCACACACCUCGAAGUGAGUAUUGUGAUCGAACAGAGUCCAUUUCCGGACAACGCCGAUACUUCGAUACUCGUCCGAUGUUCGUUCGCGCACCUCUCGAAACUUGGACAGAUCGCAAACAGUCGGAGAGAGCUUCGGGAUCUCUUCUUUGCUAAAGAAUCGGGCGAGUUCGCGCGUGUAAUUUGUUAUACGUGGACACUGAAACGCGGCGAAUCCCGAAGAUGGAUCACGUGCACGUAAGGUCGAGGAGCUCAGCUUCGAAGAGCAACCCGACGAAAAUGGCUUGCGAAAAAGCGUCGAGACGUCUCAGGACAAUUCUCGUGAAAGCGUCCCGCUUUGGUGUCUCUACGACGGAAGUCGCCAGAUUACCGGCGGCCAAGAAACUUAUUCCGCAAAGAGAUCACGGCUGGAAACUGGCGGUAUUUCUUCUGCUUAUGUUCGGAGGCGGAGUCAUCGUCGCCUUGAUCUGCACCACCAGGAAAGGAUGCUCAAAACUGGAGGAUAUUAGUCUGGCAACCUAGCCGUUGCGGCCCAUUAUUCCUCGGGGACCCAUAACGACGAUAACAACGAUGACGACGACGAUGACGACGAUGACGACGACGGCGACGGCGACGGCGACGGCGACGACGACGACGUCAUCGGUGACAACGAUGGCAGUAAUGAAGAAUCGUCCGAACAUAAAGUCCGUCACGUGUCAACACGGAAGCAGCUGGCCGAGCAACGAUCCCGAUACGAAUUAUUCAGACGGCCCUGAAACUACUUCAAAACGGUGGGACAUCAUACUCAAGUGUGCCCGAUGGCGCGAUUCGUCGUCGCCGGAUGGUGUCGUGUUGGAAGACAAUGGUGGAGUGACGAUACUUAGAGUGUGUUGAGUGACUGCGAUUGAUCGAUAAAGUGUGAUGAUACAAGGCACUGUAUCUUUUUACAGAUAGUUUGCCGAAGAGAAAUGUUGCGUGACGUUUGAGACAAAAUAAUUGCGUGAACAAAUGACGAGCGAUGCAGCAAAAGCAAUUUGUAUUGUGGAUCGAGAGAGAACAAGCACUUAAACUAAUUUCUUGUUCAAACAUGUUUUAUUUACACGUUUUGAAUUAUAUAUCGUGUGUUUAUUUUACAUUAAGUUUAUUCAAAAAAAACUGAUUGUUGAUAUUGACAUUUGUAUUUACAAAAAAAGCUUCUUGUAAUUGUGUACGGAAACGCUUGAGACUCAAUUACGUGGGGAAACACGAAGUAUUUUCGAAAGCGAAUGUUUCUCUCUCGAAAAAAUUGGACCGAGUCGGUAUGUUGCAGCGAAUGAACAUGAAACGCGAAAUUAAGGAAAACUACAAACGAAGCGAACAAGAAAAAUAGAAGUUUACGAACUCCAGUCGGUCACGCACGCGUUUUCGCGUGUCUGAAACGAAUAACGGAAAUAUUCUUACGUAUUUAUAUUUGUCUCUCUUGACGUUUUGUUUCCGCGAUCACAUAAAUCAUACAAAUUAUCGCAAUUCUCUGCGGGAUAUAUUCUAUACCGCGUAAUAGCGAAUAUUACAAGCAAUUUGGAAAAAUAGCGAAAAUAACACCCAGCGAAAAGAUCGGACAGAAAUUUUUACCGCACCUCUCAUUCGAUUCGCGAUAAUUUGUAAAAAUUAGAUGUCUCUGAUUCUUCUCCUAAAUACACUUUAACUAGAAACAUAUAUUUUUAUAACUUAUUUUUAAAAAAGCUAGAAGAAGAAAUAUUAUAAUAUUCCAAAAUUUUAACGAUCAUUAUGUUAUAUGAUGAUAUUUGCUACAUAAUGUAUAAAAUAUUUCCAUCGCUUCUGAAUAAUUUGAUAUUGCCAAAGAUUGCUUCUAUAUUAUGUGAAGAAGGACGGAGCAGUGUCGUACAUACAUACAUAUAUAUAUGUAACAAAUUUAUCAAAUACGUCAAAAAUAUGACAGAAGCGCGAACGCGAGACAGAAAGGGAAGGAGAAUCAGAGGAAAGCCGUCCAACAAAGUAGAAAAAGUCGAUUCCCCGGUGACUCGGACACGCGUCAUCGCGUGUCCCGGACAAAUUAGCGAUCCCUGACUUUGCUAUGGCUGAUUUAUUCGUCGCGGUAUGCAUCGUUCGGGCAUAUUAUCUCCGUCCUCGUCGGGUACAUGGGCUCGGGGAUUGAAUAUGUGCAAAAAUCGCCAGGAACAGCGCGUAAAAGUUUCGCGGGCGGAAGGGCUUUAAUCAAUUCCCCCGGCGUUAAUAGAAAGUAACUUCGGAUGGUAACUCUCAUUCGCGCUAAUUUAAAUUUAUGAGAACUUUGAGUUAAAUUCGAUACAACAUUUAUUGAUCUUUAUUGAAUAAUUUCAUUAAGUAAAAUAUUGCUUUUGUUAAUUAAUGUCAUACACGACGCGUUUCAUUUGUUACGGGACACAUAUUGAAAAUUAAUUAAUUUCACCACAUGUCGAUUUAAUGAUUCGUUAAUUGUUAUUUUCAUUUUGCAAAAGGACGAUUAUUAUUUUUCUUUGUUCGACAUCUGCUCGCGCCGCUUUCAAAUUAUAUCCGGGGUAUAAUGUAGGCGGAGGUUAACGAGACUAACACGCUAACGAUGCCAGCGUUAAUUACCGUCCUGGAUAGACCGCCUAAUCGCCGGGCGAGUGGACACACUAAUUACGCGCCCGAUGAUCGAGCGGAUCCCAAUUCAGAAUCGGUGAGAAAUCGCGGAAUCAGAGAUUGAAUUCCUCGUUUGUUGGAUGUUCGCGGUGCGAGUCCGUACAUUUGUACAUUUAACAACACGCACAGAUUCUCUCGAUCCAUCAAUACAGCAGUUUGUAUGAUAAUCCAAAUACACAAGAGUUCUGUUAUUAUUGGAAUUGUUAAUGACGCAAACGAGAAAGAUGUGUUUUAAAGACGUAUAAUUCCGUGUGAGUUAUUGAUUUACCUUAUUUAUUUGAACUCAAAAACUGUUUGUCUCUUAUUUCAAACAUCAGUGAUUACCAGUAUAAAAUUUGCAAUUAAUAAUAAUCUGUGUUAUGGAUUAAAUUGGCGCACAGACGUUCCGUACAUUCAAUCGCUUGAUUAGACACGAAGUUCGUUUAAUGUGAGAUUUAUUUCACAUUUUGCCUCGUUACGCGAUGAGUGCGAUUGAAACUACAAUAUCGUAUAUGCAUCUCAGUUUUUAUACACAUCAGGGAAAACGUUGCAUCAGUCUCGUCACGGAGCUUUUGUAAUGUAGACAAAGUGAGCGCGAAGACACGUGUGUGAAAGUGCACUAGAUAAUAAUUCAAACACAAACCGUUUAUAUAUUUAAGAGAAUCCAGAAGUAACAUUUUAUAAAUUAAUAGAGCUUGUCGAUGAGUGACAUAAACAAAUAUCGUUGGCCUAAGGUAGGAGCGAUGCAACGCUUUUUAUGUGUGUAUACUUGUGAUAGGUGUAAUUGCGCGAUCACAAAACAAUGGAUUAUCAGUCCUCGAUACCAUUUAAGAAAUUUGUACGAGAAUGCAAAUUACAUUAUAUAUAUAUAUACAUAUAUACAAUACGCCGCAAAUUUUUCAUCAAAAUGUACAAAUGCUUUUUUUCUCAUCAGUCGGCAAAACGAAUUCUUGUGAAGAUGCGCGCGCACGUGACGUCCGUAGAUUCGCCUGCUCGAUAAAUGCUCGAAGACACAAGAGAUACGCGGUCAGAGAGAGAAAGAGAAACACGGCGUUGCAGUUUAGAUUUACGAUAGAUAAACGAGACACUUAAUUCGUAAGAUAGAGUUUCCUACAUAGAGAUAGCACGCGAACGAGAUGCGCGCCGAGAAUCUAAUCGCUUAAGACACACACAAUACACACACACACACACACACACACACAUACAUAUAUCGACACUACUCUACAAGCGCAGCAUAUGUGAUUUUGUAAAUACGUGAGUGCAACGAGUGUAGCGUCGAUUCGAGACAAAAAUGAGAACGACGUCUCGCUUGUAUUCUUUCCCAUUUCCUCGCGAAGAAAACGAAUCAACGAAGAACCCGCUCGAUGAUUGUACUGCCGAUCUUUUCUAGAGAGACAACGAUCGCGUGAGCUUGGCUUCUUCUCACAUGUGUAUGUAUGUAUGUGUUUCUCUCGAUGUAUAUGCGCGGUGUAUAUGCGUGUGUGGUAAAUUCGUGCGAAAAAGGAUCCUGCAGAUGAGCAGGUGCAAUGUCCAGGAAGAACGAGCGCUCGCGAUCGCGGAAGUAUUUCUCCGGCUUGUCCAGACGUGCGUGAUUACGUGAUGAUGAAGAGGUAAGGAAAGAUGAGCGCGUGUAACACAGGGUAGACAAUAGGGACCAUCGAGAGAGAGACUGCUACCAGGAGCGAGCGAACGCGAUGGCGACGCGCGAGACGGCGAAUGUUCGUUUCAUGAAUAUUUCAACAUCCGUCGACGACGGUAAAUACCGAGCGUCGUGAAAUUAUGUUCCGCGAGCCAGUCGACCCAAAUAUGCGUUUUUCGCGACAAGAGGUUUCCUGCGAAGAAUAUUAUUCCGCGACACAGCAUCGUUUCGCGAACGAGAAAGAAAAGAAAUUUCCUUGAGACCAUUGUCGUGAAUGGCGCAGAAAUAUAACGUAGAAAUUGUAGAAAUUGCAAAUUUGUAUAUCACUUUUAGCUGGAACCGGUCGCGGAAUAUUUCACGUGUUAAUGAGAAAAAAUAUCUAUCUCUCUUUCUGUUAUAACGCUCUUUUUUUAAAAUAAAAAAAUCUUGAAUAAUCUUUUUAGAUAGUUAAAAGCGCAAUAUACACGCAAAUCAAUAUUACUUUCGACUUUAUAUUCCGCGAAUAUCACAAAAUCGUAAUUCUUUAUGGAAACAUAUGGAAUCCGGAAAAUGAUAAUAGUCCCGUUGCGGGAUUACAGCACAUAUUACAUUUCGAAGUAUAAUGGAAUGUUCGAAAGAGCGUAUUACCCCGCGCCGACAGCGUGCUCUGCGGCAUAUUACAUUUUCAAGUAUAAAAUUGUUUCACGGUGCCGAGUCUUUGAAUUUUCCCUCAAAGCUCCCGUCUCUCUUUUCCGGAAGAACGCAAUCUCUAUUCCGCGGACGCGUCGUGUAUACAAGAGGCGGGCCGAACUUUAUUACGGAGGAACGGCGCGCGGUUCUCGACGACUUGCGGGCGGUUCUCGAUCGACCGUGAACGGGAAUUCAUUCGGCACCGCAGGAGACCGAGGUUAGUAAACCUCUUUCGUUGUGGGAGGAACGGGUCAAUAAUGACGACGAAGCAGCCUCGCCUCGACUCGUGGCUGAAUCGCGCGUCGUCGAGGAAAAAGAGCGCGAGAGGACGACGCGAUAGAGGAAGGGGUGAGAGAGAAGAGGGUGAGAGAAGCGAAAGCAAGGGAGAGAACGUGCCACCUGUUACACCCUCGUCUUCUCGGACUCUUCCCUCUCUCCGGAUGGUCGGCGUGAACGUAAAGUCGAAAGUUCGAGGUUUCCUCGGCGCUCUUCUUCGGUGGGAACUGGCUAUCGCGGAAUGUUUUUCAAGCGACUCGCCAAAAGUUUUCGGUUGAAGGGAUUUCUAUUUGCGCGACGGCUAAUUCAAUCGCCCUCUCAUCCGGCCAUUACUGCAAUUGCUCCGCGAUUUAUUUUAUUUGCCAUCUUACGUAAUAAACUUAACGAUCUUAUAUUUGCGAUCUUAAUUUGAGUGAAAUGGUUCAACGCGAAAGUGGAUUUUAAAUUGUUGUUUUCGCGUCGAGUUUGCGCUGCACGUCUGCCAUUUCUUCGCCCAUUCCUGAGCAUCGGCGAUCGUGACGCACCAACUAUUUCGUGGGAAUUUCUUCUUCGAGAUACGUACGGCCACGCGGCAGAACGGAGAGUGGAUCGACUUGUCUCGACGAAGCGAAUUGUGAAAUCGUGCGAGAUGGUCAAACACAAUAAGCUUGGAACUAUGUACUCAACAUGAUAAACCAUGUUCG